CGAGACCUAGAGCCCGCCCUUGGAUUAGUCUCUCCUCCCAGUUGCAGUCCUUAGUCGUUUGUGGCUGUAUGCCGGCUCGCUAUUGCCUUGAAGACGGGGGAACCUGUCCCCAGGAAGGAGGAAGUCGUAGAAGCUGACCCAGAUUCUUGGCAGGUCUUUAGGUCCGUGGGUGCAGCAGAUUUCAAGGCUACGAGAGGAAGAUUGCUUCUGAUUCCUGCAGGAAGAAGAAGCAGG
rnacentral:lncRNA from 1 species